rnacentral:lncRNA from 1 species
UUUGACCUUUGUUUGAGGGGAGCAUUUUCCAGUGAUUGGCUAUUUUAAGAGUGCCAAUCUAAUAACCCCUUUAAAAGCACUUAGAGUAAUAGGAUAAAAUUAGACUUUUAAAAUAUCACUUUUUUUGUUGUUGGGUAGGGGAAUCACUUGCAAGGUCCACACAAGUCCGCCUAUGUACUCUCUGGAUCGAAUAUUUGCUGGAUUUCGAACACAAAGUCAGAUGCUGUUGGAUCACGUAGAAGAACGAGAUGAGGUCCUCCACUGCCAAUUUUCUGAUAACAGUGAUGAUGAAGAAUCAGAAGGCCAAGAGAAAUCUGGAACUAGAUGUAGAAGUCGUUCAUGGAUUCAGAAGCCAGACUCUGUUCCCUUGUUGAAUUGAGUGAUACUCAGGAUGAAACACAAAAGUCAGAUUCGGAGAAUGAAGAUUUAAAGAUUGAUUGUCUCCAGGAGAGUCAAGAAUUGAAUUUGCAAAAAUUAAAGAAUUCAGAACGCAUACUUACUGAAGCCAAACAAAAAAUGAGAGAACUUACAGUUAACAUCAAGAUGAAGGAAGAUCUGAUUAAAGAAUUA